UACGUAGGGCGCAAGCGUUGUCCGGAAUUAUUGGGCGUAAAGAGCUCGUAGGCGGUCUGUCGCGUCUGCUGUGAAAACUCAGGGCUUAACCCCGAGCCUGCAGUGGAUACGGGCAGACUAGAGGUAGGUAGGGGAGAAUGGAAUUCCCGGUGUAGCGGUGAAAUGCGCAGAUAUCGGGAGGAACACCGGUGGCGAAGGCGGUUCUCUGGGCCUUACCUGACGCUGAGGAGCGAAAGCGUGGGGAGCGAACAGG
rnacentral:rRNA from 1 species